rnacentral:lncRNA from 1 species
CCUGACUGUAAAAUAAACAUUUUGCUCCCAUACCUCAUCAGCCAGCUCCAACACAGUAACUGGGCUGGGUACUCCCGGGCGCUGCUUGAAGUCUUCAGCAGUUUCAAAACUCAGCUUCACAAUUCCACCUCAUUUCCAGAGGCAGCUCAUCUUUAACUUGAGCUCAGGCUAGGCUGUUUUGGAUUGGCUCGCAGCGGGCGCCAUCCUUACGGCGUACGGAAACCGCGCCCGGCGGCUCCCCGCAGCUCCCUGCCGGGCUCAGUCAGAGCCCCGCGCUGAAGCGCCCCACGGCGCCGCGAAGGGCGAAAUGGCGUACAGGGCUACGCCGCACGGGCAGCGCGGCCGGGCCCACCCCGCCGGAGCGACGCCUCGGGGGCGGGACGGACAGCGUAACGCUGCCGGC